rnacentral:lncRNA from 1 species
AUGAAACCAAACCCUGCCCUUCUGCAAUACGGGAAGUAUUCUGUCAGGACUAUGGCCUGCAAUAUUAGACACAUCACCUUUAUUACUGCAGCCCAUGCACCAGGACGAACAAAAACUGGUGCUGAGGUAAUCUUGACCUUGAGGCUACAUAAAGUGGAAGUUAGUGGAAAGUCUGGAAAAGCUGCAUCUUUCUGGGGAAAAAAAGGAUGGUUUUGGUGCUUCAGAGUAACCUGCUGCUGCGUGUCCCCAGGAGGUAGGGAGAUAAGCCUAGAGUGCGUGGCCCCUUGCUCAUCACAGAGUGUGUUAGUGCACCAAAAGUUGUGCUGUGUCGUGUGGAGAAUAACGCCAACAACAGCAAUGUGCCCGUGGUUUCCAUGCCAUGGUCACUAAUUAAUGUCUCCUCUUCAAUACUGCUCGCUGCAGGGCACGUGUGCAGCUGUACCGGAGAGCAAAACGCAACCCGGUGCCUGUUCACUGAUCCGAGGGCUGGAUGAUUAAAAGCUUAAUGCUGCAGGCUGUGUUCCCCUGGGCACUGCCACUGCCUUCGUCCCCUGUCCGGCACGCUGACAUUACUGACACAGUUUGUUUUGGGGACACGCACCAGAGGAACAGCAUCUUCCCGGCACUUACUGGGGGCGCUUGCUGGAGCACCUUUUGUUCAACAUUAAACUUCUCGUGUCUCUUCCCAGGCCUCUGCCUCCUGUUGUGACAAAAAAAUGUUCAAGAGCUUCAUCUCGAAGCCAUGACAAUAGCUUUCAGAGAGUGUUUUGAAGAUUUUAUUUGCCUCUGGAAUAGUUUUAAUCAAAGUAUUUUUUUUCUAUCAGUUUUUGGACACUUUACAGUUUUCAGUAGCUGCCUUGAAUCAAGUCCAUGAGUAUGUCUAACAUGCCAAAAAUAGAUUCAGCUGAAGCCUCUAUUACAAUUAUCACUUUGGAUUUCGGUGCCACUUACCACUUAAGUGGUUUACAAGCAAUUACAGCCCAAAUCUUCGAGAACCUGUUGGAAGCAGAGCAUUUUCUGCCCCGGGUUCACAGAGAAGUGGAGCAGCUCGGUGCGAUGCUGCUCUGCCACCGGCUGAGCUCUGGUACCAGAGGAAGGGAAGAGGGGAGGAUGCUCCUCGGUAAUCCAGCCCCUCUUCUGUUCUUGAAUUCUGCUGGGAAGGGUUAAAAGCCCUUAAGCCAGAUAGAUGGAAAGACAGAUAGAUAUUCACGUCGCUGUUCGUGUAAAAGCAGCAUCAAAUGAGAAAGAUUAGCUAUGUAUUUGGCAAGCUGCUUGCAUAUGUCACAUUUAAUCCCUUCAUCAUGGCUUCUUAGUACCGAGCAGAUUAUUAGCGAGUAAUGGAAUGGUGUGAGAAUACCUGGUGGCAUUAUAUCUGCAUCUCUCCUUUGUUAUUACCUUCAGGAACGGAUAAUGUGAACAUGAAAUAAGAAUUACCCAAGGAUUGUGUUCAAUGCAGGACCUGAGAAGCCUCCUGGAGGGGAGCUGCUGCACCAAAGGACUUUCAGCAGACGUUGGCUGGGCUGGGCUGUGUUGGGGUCCUGCUGCAAGGGCUGAGUCCAGGAAUGGUGGCUGAAAUGUAAUAUUGCUUUGAAUUCAGAGCACGGAUUUGAGAGGACAUUUUCAGUCACAUCUGGGAACUGUAGGACCAACACUAAUGUUCAAAAUGUAAUGUUUUGUGGUUAUGCAGACAUGCAGCAUUAUUCUGCCUUUUCUGCUCCAAAAGCUACGAUGUGCAGCAAUAUAGGACUGAAGAAUCCGAGCACUGUUGAAAAGACAUCUUAUUUUUCCUUUAAGGUUGCUUAAUUAAUUUCUUUCAACUUCUUUAUACUGUUUGAUGAAUGUUAUUUCAAACUACUGUCAAGGGAAAUGUGAGGAGGGAAAAAUGAACCACCUACAUACUGCUUCGAAUACAAUUGUAUCUCCCUUGACAAACAGAAUUAAAAAAAAAAAAAAAAGGUGUUAGCCUAUAUGCAUGACAGAGAGGGUUUAGAAUAAUUGUGCUUGUUUCUAUUUUAAUUAUCCUUGUCAGGACAUUUUGUAAAACACACAAAAAAAAUUAUAAGUUAAAUAAAAAUCAGAGGCAGGCCA